AAAUUUACAAUAUAUUUUAUGCGAACAUAUUUGCCUUGUACAUGUAAGUUUUACAAACAAACUAACGGCCAUUUUCAUGGCGAACGUGUCAACAGUGUUGUGUGAAAGUUUUAAACAAGAAAAUGGACAGUAACAAUAUCGAACGGGAUUUUAACAUUACUUUUACAUUGGAUUUUAAAUCAGUUACUUAUUUUUCAUUUUUGGCAUCACCGUAGUAAACAUUAAAGUUUGAAAUGUUCACUGUUGCCCCAAAAAACAGACCCCAACGUGUCGAGUCAAAGUGGGUGGGGAAAGAGAUUGCUUCUGGAUUUAAAGUUGCUGUAACUUCUUGAGGAAGCUGUUGUUGUCCAGGAUUCAGAAGUGCUGCCAGUUGUGAAUGGGACGAAGAUGAAAUGGCGAUGCUUUCGCGCUGCAUCAUGCUUUGGGACAUGCUUGAUGCAAUGGAUUCGUUGCUUUUGGCAAUGCUAGUACCUGCCAAAAUAUUGGAACAUUUCUUUUGAGUCUGAAUGGAAAUGUUGCUAUAGUUAAUUAUGCUUUGAACGUUUUUGUGUCCACUGAUUUGCAUUAUAUCCGUGGAGCAGCAUCCUGAAUCCCGCAGCUUCUGAACCAUGUGCUUCCUGGCAGAGUGAUUUAAACAACGAACCUGUAAGUUGCGACAACACAUUUGGAUGGGUCUUCAUCAUUGGCCCACAUUCUUGGCGGCACAGUUCUUGCUUCGUCAGUUGCACCCGUUCGAGUCUUUGUCUGCCUCUCGACCAACUCCAGAUACUCAUCUCCUUCUACGUCUCGGCACAGCUUCACAUCACCCCAUCUAAUUAAUUCGGAAAGGUUGACGACCAGUGAAAACAAUGUUAUUUUCAGUUAAAGUUGUGGUGACAGAACAGUCUACGAACAAAUUUUUAGAUACAUGUUCAUGUACAAUCUAAAUUGCAGACACUGGAAAGUUGAAUUGUUAAUGUGUUAUAAGACAUAGUUCGCCUUUAUAUUUAUAAGACAGAAAAAGUGACAGAAAAAUUUGCAAUUUUAAGUAAUAGUUAUAAGUCAAGAUGCAUCGUAUAUAUUCUGUAUUCCAGCAAGUUUGAAAUUUUAUUUUUUACCGUAAAUUGUAAUGUUCUUCCACACUCCGCAUGCCGAAGUUUGUUGUGAAUCGGAACCAUAGAGAGUUUAUUAUGGCCUGUGGACUUCCAUUACCGAGUUGCCCUUUAUCGUAGAGCUUUUGAAUUUCAUGCUGCUCUAUUGGUUGGGCCGCAUUCGCCUUGUUUCCUUUGCCUUCUUUCUUAACUUUUUUCAUUUUAGACUGGAAGGUUUGAAAAUCAAGUAACCUUCAAUCAUUUUGAAUGUCAAAAUUAUAGUAUUUGUGUGUUAGUAAUUAACCCUUUCAGUGCGGGAACCAAAUU